CCCGCUGAACUUAAGCAUAUCAAUAAGCGGAGGAAAAGAAACUAACAAGGAUUCCCCUAGUAACUGCGAGUGAAGCGGGAAAAGCUCAAAUUUAAAAUCUGGUGGUCUUUGGCCAUCCGAGUUGUAAUUUAGAGAAGCGUCUUCCGCGCUGGACCAUGCAUAAGUCUCCUGGAAUGGAGCGUCAUAGAGGGUGAGAAUCCCGUCUUUGGCAUGGACCCCCAGGGCUUCUGUGAUGCGCUCUCAAAGAGUCGAGUUGUUUGGGAAUGCAGCUCAAAAUGGGUGGUGAACUCCAUCUAAAGCUAAAUAUUGGCGAGAGACCGAUAGCGAACAAGUACCGUGAGGGAAAGAUGAAAAGCACUUUGGAAAGAGAGUGAAACAGUACGUGAAAUUGUUGAAAGGGAAACGCUUGAAGUCAGUCGCGUCGACCGAGACUCAGCCUCGCCUUGGCUUGGUGUACUUCUCGGCUGACGGGUCAGCAUCAAUUUCGAUCCUUGGAUAAUGGCAAGGGAAAGGUAGCACCUUUACAGGUGUGUUAUAGUCCUCUGUCGGAUGCUAGGGUUGGGAUUGAGGAACUCAGCACGCACCUCAUCGGUGUCGGGGCCUUUUGGCCUACGUCACGUGCUUACGAUGCUGGCAUAAUGGCUUUAAACGACCCGUCUUGAUACACGGAAAGGCGAAUUCGCUUAAACCUAGCAGACUAACCCCUAUAUUGAGGGUAAAUUCAGCACUUAGUAAUACCAUGGACAUACCUGUCCCCUCUGAAAAAUUGGCUUCAGCUUCCUAUUUCCCCAGACAAACGAGCCCGAAAGUUAUAGUUUCCCGCCCGCGUUGCCAAAACAAUAACCUAACCUCCAUUAAUAACGUGGAAAACCCCUCCCCGGUUUCCCAUAGAAAAAACUUUAACCCCCCAAUUCAAUUAUAUUAACCCCCCAACUCGCCCGGCUGAAACAAUUUUUCAAAAUCCCGGCCCUUUUCCCCUUCCUCCGUUCAAUGAUAUCCGGGCCAAUCGGGCGCUUCUAGCGCGGGCGAGAGGGGGAUUUUUUUUCCCUAUUAUAUCCGGGUCUAC
rnacentral:rRNA from 1 species